GAUGAACGCGGCGGCGUGCCUAACACAUGCAAGUCGAGCGAGAAGUAAAGAAAUGAAGCUUCGGUAGAUUUUCAUUAUGGAAAGCGGCGGACGGGUGAGUAACGCGUAGGCAACCUGCCCUGUACAGGGGGAUAGCCACCCGAAAAGGUGAUUAAUACCCCAUGAUGCAAGAGAUACACAUGUAUCACUUGUCAAAGAUUUAUCGGUAUGGGAUGGGCCUGCGUCUGAUUAGCUAGUUGGUAGGGUAACGGCUUACCAAGGCAACGAUCAGUAGCCGACCUGAGAGGGUGAUCGGCCACAUUGGAACUGAGACACGGUCCAAACUCCUACGGGAGGCAGCAGUGGGGAAUAUUGCACAAUGGGGGAAACCCUGAUGCAGCAACGCCGCGUGAAGGAAGAAGGCCUUCGGGUUGUAAACUUCUGUCCUAGGGGAAGAAACAAAUGACAUUACCCUUG
rnacentral:rRNA from 1 species